GAAAUGCGAUAAGUAAUGUGAAUUGCAGAAUUCCGUGAAUCAUCGAAUCUUUGAACGCACAUUGCGCCCUCUGGUAUUCCGGGGGGCAUGCCUGUCCGAGCGUCAUUGCGAACCCCUCAAGCACGGCUUGUGUGAUGGGCCCUCCCGCGUCUUGGUCGUCAAGAUGGGCCCGAAAUGCAGUGGCGGCUUCGCGGUUAUCCGAUCAGCCAGAGCGUAUGGGGACUUUCUCUCUGUCACACGCCCGCGGCGCGGACCGACGCCUGUCGACCUUUAUUCAUCUUUUUCUCGGUUGACCUCGGAUCAGGUAGGGAUACCCGCUGAACUUAAGC
rnacentral:misc_RNA from 1 species